rnacentral:rRNA from 1 species
UACGGAGGGGGCGAGCGUUGUUCGGAAUUACUGGGCGUAAAGGGCGUGUAGGCGGCUUGACAAGUCUGAGGUGAAAGCCUGGAGCUCAACUCCAGAAGUGCCUUUGAGACUGUAUCGCUUGAGUACGGGAGAGGAGAGUGGAAUUCCUGGUGUAGCGGUGAAAUGCGUAGAUAUCAGGAGGAACACCAAUGGCGAAGGCAGCUCUCUGGGCCGGUACUGACACUGAGACGCGAAAGCGUGGGGAGCGAACAGG